GCGAGCCGUAUGAAUCGAGAGGUUCACGUCCGGUUCUGGGAGCGCCCGAGGGUGAAAGUCCCUGACCCGAC
rnacentral:ncRNA from 1 species